AUAAUAUUAAAAUGAAACUAGAAUUCUACUUUUCAAUAUGAUGGCUGUUAACCACAUGUGACUAAUGAGAAGUUGGAAUAUGGGUAGUCUGAAAUGAGAUGUGCUAUAAGCACUGAAUACACCAAAUACACUGAAAAAUAUACACUGAAUUCUGAAGACAGUUUGGACAAAAAAGCAUGUAGUACAUCCCAUUAAUUCUUUUCAAAUAUUGAUUAUAUGUUGAUGUAAUGCUUUAGAGACACAGGUUUAAAUAAAAUAUAUAAUUAAAAUACAUUUAACCUCUGUUUACUUUUUUAAUGUGACUACUAGAAAAUUAAAAUAUCGAGGAGCCAAGAUGGCCGAAUAGGAACAGCUCCGGUCUACAGCUCCCAGCCUGAGCCACGCAGAAGACGGGUGAUUUCUGCAUUUCCAUCUGAGCUAACAGAUCCAAAGAAAAAGAUUAGAAAUACCUAAGAAAGAAGAAUACAGUUUAUAUUUGAAGUCACUGGAAAGCUGUCAAGUCAACCAGGUUUAGUGGGCAAAAUCUCAGACAGAAGGCCAGUUCCAUGAG
rnacentral:lncRNA from 1 species